UGUGAUGUGAUGUACGUCAACGAUCAAGUUGAAGAUAAGGCAUGAGAUGAACAGGGGUCUAAGCGGUUGAUGGUGAUUGGAUCAAGAGUUGGUCAAGGAUCGAAUCAAGGAGGCUUGGAACUAAUUCAAGAGUUCAAGACCAAUUGAUCGAUUGACGUGCAUGUGCUUGUAAUACGACCUAAUUAGAAUCCAUGAUCAUCACCUAUUUAAAGUUUAGCUUUAAUUAUUACUGCGAUUAUAACUGCCUGCAAUGUGCCGUUUGCAUGUGAUGUGAAUGAAAGCCGGGUAGAUAGGUUUACAUGUGAUGUAGCAAACCCAAUUGAGACCU
rnacentral:lncRNA from 1 species